UACGUAGGGGGCGAGCGUUAAUCGGAAUUACUGGGCGUAAAGAGUGCGCAGGCGGCCAUGCAAGUCGAGUGUGAAAGCCCCGGGCUUAACUUGGGAAUUGCGCUCGAAACUACGUGGCUGGAGUGUGGCAGAGGAAGGUGGAAUUCCACGUGUAGCGGUGAAAUGCGUAGAGAUGUGGAGGAACACCAAUGGCGAAGGCAGCCUUCUGGGCCAACACUGACGCUCAUGCACGAAAGCGUGGGGAGCAAACAGG
rnacentral:rRNA from 1 species